rnacentral:rRNA from 1 species
CAAAAACAUGUCCUUUUGUUUAUUUAUUUAAGGUCUGGCCUGCCCAAUGAUUUAUUGAAUGGCCGCAGUAUUUUAACUGUGCUAAGGUAGCAUAAUCAUUUGUCUUUUAAAUGAGGGCUAGAAUGAAGGGUUGGACGAGAUGUAAGCUUUCUUUAAUUUAAGGGGAUAAUUUAAUUUUUGAGUUAAAAAGCUCAAAUUUAUUUAAGGGACGAGAAGACCCUAUAGAUCUUUAUAUUAAGUUUAAUUUUAAGGUUUAGUUGUUUAUUAUGUUUAAUUAAUUAAGUAUUUGGUUGGGGUGACUGUAGAAUUUAAUUAACUUCUAUUAAUUUUUUCAUUUAUUUAUGUUUAUUUGAUCCAUUUUUAAUGAUUACAAGAUUAAGUUACCUUAGGGAUAACAGCGUAAUUUCUUCGGGGAGUUCAAAUCUAUGAAGAAGUUUGCGACCUCGAUGUUGGAUUAAAAUUAGAUUUGUGUGUAGCAGCAUAGGUUCUAGGUCUGUUCGACCUUUAAUUUKUUACAUGAUCUGA